AUUGAUUGUGGGUGAUUACAGAGAAUCUCCGGUGUCUCUGUGAGAAAUUUUUAGCAUGUGUAGUGACGCGGGUUCCUUACGGCGUCUCUUGGUGUGCAAUCAACGCGAUUCCAACGUUCUGCGUGUAGGCUUGACGUGAUUUUGGGAGUCUCCUUUUCGGCGUCUCUUGGGUGAGCGACCCAGCUUCUCAUCCGGCAGCUGAGUGCAAUCGACACGAUUUCAGCGUCCUCUGUGUGUGGGUUCGAUGUGAUUCCGGUGAUUGGUCAAUGUCCUCUGUGUAGGUUCGACGUGAUUCCGGUGACUGGUGAGUUAACGUGAAUUUGUCUUGGGCUAAGUGUGUUGAUUUGGGCCAAUAUCAGCGUUUAUUAGGUCACCUAAUUGGGCCAUAUUAAUUCAUUUGUUUUAGAGGUGACUUUGGGCUAAGUGUUCAGCAUUUAUUACGCUAACUUUAUUGGGCCAAAUUAAUUCAUUUGUCUUGGAAAAAUUUAAUUUGGGGAUUGUUAUUGAUAUAAUUAAUUGUUAGUACCAUGACAACCAACAUUUCUGAAUUUUUUGGUGUGCGAUUCACGGGAAAAAAUUAUUCUGCAUGAGAAUUUCAAUUUCGAUUAUUUGUUAUGAGAAAAGAAUUAUGGGGUCACAUUAAUGGAAGUGACCCGAUUCUUACUGAGGCUAAUAAAUUGGCUCAAUGGACAGUGGAAGAUGCAAGAGUAAUGACAUGAAUUUUAGGGUCUGUUGAUCCUAUGAUUGUUUUAAAUCUGAGACCAUAUAAAACUACUAAAGAUAUGUGGGAGUAUUUGAAAAAUGUUUAUAAUCAGGACCAUACAGCCAGACGAUUUCAAUUGGAAUAUGGGAUGGCAAAUUAUACUUAAGGCAAUGUCAACAUCCAAGAUUACUUUUCCGGGAUUCAAAAUUUAUGGGGUGAAUUUACUGAUAUUAUCUAUGCUAAAGUACCACCAGAAUCCCUAGCCGCUUUCAUGAACAAAGCAAACGUGAUCAAUUUCUGAUGAAGUUACAACCAGAAUUUGAGGCUACGCGCUGCAAUUUGAUGAAUAGUGAUCCACCUCCUUCUUUGGAUGUAUGUUUUGGGGAUUUACUUCGAGAAAAGCAGCGUCUCACAACACAUGCCACUUUUCAUCAAC
rnacentral:lncRNA from 1 species